GAAUGCAGUUCUUGUUCGUUGUGUUUCUGUGGAUUAAGUAAUCGCAUUUUUUAAAUUUUUGGGUGAUUUAGUUAUCGAAUUGUAUCUGCGUUUUGAACUUGAGGUAAUCCAAUCCAUUCCGAGUGGUUCUGGCCAUUCAGUUUCCUUAGGACAAAAGAAUUCCUUGCUCUUCAAAAACAUCCACGUUCGGUGGUUUAAAUUCAGUAUCGUUUCCUUUGUAUGUUUCGACUGUACCUGAUAUUGGGUCUAACUUGAUGAGCCCGUUCUGGAUCAUCAAAGAUUUGGAAUCAUCUUCGCGGGUAAACUAUUUAGGAACUGCAGAGUCUGCGAAUAGGCACCUAAAAGAAAUGGACGAUACCUUCUGUGUGGUAGUGUUCAACUGAGUCCCAAAAGUUGUAAUAUGCUUUUUGAUUUUGAAAUCAAACAAACAAAAAUCAAUCUGGUCAAUAGGUAACGACAAAUUCGACAUUUAAAUUGUGAGUCUCCCAUGGACGUUUUGCAAAGGGAAGAGUAGUGAUC